GACGAAAUUUUUUUUUUACAAUCUUCUUCUUCUUCAUUCACUGAAUCAAUGUCCAAUUGAUUAACAAUAAGAUCCAAUAUUCCAUUGAUGAUAACAAAGAAGAAAAUCUUAGAUCAUUUUCUUAAUCUAAAAUAAAUCACGACGACACAGAUGAGAGAACAAAUCGGAAGUGUUGCUGAUGCGGUAUUCUUUGCUGAAGAUGGUUACUCUCUUGUUGGUUUUAAGGUGAUGCCCAAGUUCUUGAAAGGUUUGGAAGCUCGGGAUCAAGGUUACUUGUUCUCAAGUGACUGAAUCACAUUAUUGAAAGCCUAGUAGUAUGACAGAAGAAAGCUGCUCAAGAAGCCACUAUAACCUCAGUUGCAGGAGAAAGUAUUAUUGAGCUUAAGGUCAAGACCUUGGGUUCACAGAUCUGUAAA